rnacentral:sRNA from 1 species
GAAAGUUGUAUUGAAUCCGACGUCCCUA